AUGCCUUGUAUACUGUUGUGCAGGUUAGUUAUCAUUGUUUUAGUUUACAAUGGAGCCCCUAGUUCCACUCUUUAUACCCCUGAUACCUCCUUUGUCCCACCCCCCACACAUGCGGUGACCUCACCCAUUACAACCAGCAUGUCCAGAGAUACAACCUCUCUCAUCAUCACCCAGUGCCUGGGCUUACCUCCGCUGUACCCGCACCCCACCAUACCCCUGUUUGCGCAUUAUGCCCUGAAUAUAUUCUACCAUGCCCAGAAACCUGCUCCUCUUAUUCUCUGUCCCCAACGCCCUAGGCGACCAGUUUUGAUAGCCUUCAGCCGCACCCUCAUACUACUCCUUCUCUGUUCCGCGGGUGAUGUGGAGGUAAACCCAGGCCCUGCAUGUCCCCAGGCACCCUCAUUUGUUGACUUCUGUGAUCGAAAAAGCCUUGGUUUCAUGCAUGUCAAUAUCAGAAGCCUCCUCCCUAAGUGUGUCUUACUCACUGCUCUAGCACACUCUGCUAACCCUGAUGUCCUUGCCGUGUCUGAAUCCUGGCUCAGGAAGGCCACCAAAAAUUCUGAGAUUUCCAUACCCAACUAUAACAUCUUCCGUCAAGAUAGAACUGCCAAAGGGGGAGGAGUUGCAGUCUACUGCAGAGAUAGCCUGCAAAGUAAUGUCAUACUCUCCAGGUCCAUACCCAAACAGUUCGAACUACUAAUUUUGAAAAUUACUCUCUCCAGAAAUAAGUCUCUCACUGUUGCCGCCUGCUACCGACCCCCCUCAGCUCCCAGCUGUGCCCUGGACACCAUUUGUGAAUUGAUCGCCCCCCAUCUAGCUUCAGAGUUUGUUCUGUUAGGUGACCUAAACUGGGAUAUGCUUAACACCCCGGCAGUCCUACAAUCUAAGCUAGAUGCCCUCAAUCUCACUCAAAUCAUCAAGGAACCCACCAGGUACAACCNNNNNNNNNNCACACACACACACACACACACACACACACACACACACACACACACACACAACCACCUUACUGCCACAAUGUCAAAAAUCUAA
rnacentral:lncRNA from 13 species